GAUGAACGCUAGCGGCAGGCCUAACACAUGCAAGUCGAGGGGUAACGAUGUCUUCGGACAGGCGACGACCGGCGCACGGGUGAGUAUCGCGUUUGUAACCUACCUUUAACUGGAGAAUAGCCCGAAGAAAUUCGGAUUAAUACUCCAUAAUACUAUGAUCUGGCAUCUUUUUAUAGUUAAAGCUCCGGCGGUUAAAGAUGGGCAUGCGUGACAUUAGUUUGUUGGUGAGGUAAUAGCUCACCAAGACUACGAUGUCUAGGGGGUCUGAGAGGAUGGUCCCCCACACUGGUACUGAGACACGGACCAGACUCCUACGGGAGGCAGCAGUGAGGAAUAUUGGUCAAUGGGCGCAAGCCUGAACCAGCCAUGCCGCGUGAAGGAUGACAGCGCUAUGCGUUGUAAACUUCUUUUGUACAGGAAGAAACACU
rnacentral:rRNA from 1 species